rnacentral:tRNA from 1 species
CAGAAAAUAGUUUAAAUUAAAAUAAUAAUUUUGGAGGUUAUAGAAGUUGAGACUUUUCUGA